CCAAUAGCGUAUAUUAAAGUUGUUGCAGUUAAAAAGCUCGUAGUUGAAUUUCGGGAUUGACACAUCGGUCGUGCCUUAAGGGGUAUGAACUGGUGUAGUCAAUUUCUCACCUUCUGGAGAACCGCGAUGCCCUUAAUUGGGUGUCACGGGGAACCAGGACCUUUACUUUGAAAAAAUUAGAGUGUUUAAAGCAGGCAUUUUGCUUGAAUACAUUAGCAUGGAAUAAUAAAAUAGGACGGCAUGAUUCUAUUUUGUUGGUUUCUAGGAUCACCGUAAUGAUUAAUAGGGAUAGUUGGGGGCAUUAGUAUUCAAUUGGCAGAGGUGAAAUUCUUGGAUUUAUUGAAGACUAACUACUGCGAAAGCAUUUGCCAAGGAUGUUUUCAUUAAUCAAGAACGAAAGUUAGGGGAUCGAAGACGAUCAGAUACCGUCGUAGUCUUAACCAUAAACUAUGCCGACUAGGAAUCAGACGAUGUUAAUUUUUUAAUGACUCGUUUGGCACCUUACG
rnacentral:misc_RNA from 1 species